AAUGAACGCUGGCGGCGCGCCUAAUACAUGCAAGUCGAGCGAGAAGACGUAGCAAUACGUUUGUAAAGCGGCGAACGGGUGAGGAAUACAUGGGUAACCUACCCUCGAGUGGGGAAUAACUAGCCGAAAGGUUAGCUAAUACCGCGUACGCUUCUUGGACUUCGGUUCAGGGAGGAAAGCGAUGCCGAGGGUAUCGCGCUCUUGGAUGGGCUCAUGUCCUAUCAGCUUGUUGGGAGGUAACGGCUCACCAAGGCUUCGACGGGUAGCUGGUCUGAGAGGACGAUCAGCCACACUGGCACUGCGACACGGGCCAGACUCCUACGGGAGGCAGCAGUAAGGAAUAUUGCGCAAUGGGCGAAAGCCUGACGCAGCGACGCCGCGUGGGGGA
rnacentral:rRNA from 1 species